rnacentral:rRNA from 1 species
GAUGAACGCUGGCGGCGUGCCUAAUACAUGCAAGUCGAGCGAACGGACGAGAAGCUUGCUCCUCUGAUGUUAGCGGCGGACGGGUGAGUAACACGUGGAUAACCUACCUAUAAGACUGGGAUAACUUCGGGAAACCGUAGCUAAUACCGGAUAAUAUUUUGAACCGCAUGGUUCAAAAGUGAAAGACGGUCUUGCUGUCACUUAUAGAUGGAUCCGCGCUGCAUUAGCUAGUUGGUAAGGUAACGGCUUACCAAGGCAACGAUGCAUAGCCGACCUGAGAGGGUGAACGGCCACACUGGAACUGAGACACGGUCCAGACUCCGACAGUAGGCAGCAGUAGGGAAUCUUCCGCAAUGGGCGAAAGCCUGACGUAGCAACGCCGCGUGAGUGAUGAAGGACUUCGGAUCGUAAAACUCUGAUAGUAGGGAAGAACAUAUGUGUAAGUAACUGUGCACAUCUUGACGGUACCUAAUCAGAAAGCCACGGCUAACUACGUG